ACAUUGAGACGGCUGAGGAGACGGCUAUGUUCAUUCAUUCAUAUGGUAGCAACCACAUGAAAAGAAUCUCAGUUAAUUUGCAAUUGACCAAAAUAUGAGCUUGUGUGAAAUGGUUGCAACUCAUAUUAGGGCAGGGCAUUGCAGGAUCACUUGGCAUGUGUAGGAUCACUUGGCAUGUGUUUAUUUUGUGCGUGAUUCUUUGGUUUGGGUGGAAGAACUGACAGUGGAACGAAUUUGUGAGACCACAAGAUCUGUAUGCUUCUUUUGGCUUGGCAGUGGUUUGCAAUCUGCAAAUAAGGGAUAAAUUCAGUAUUGCCUUGUAAAGUUAUGUACCAACUAUGCCAUCAAUUGUACAUAAAAAAUAUUAUUAGUGUCUUUAUUUUGAGUUACACCUAGAGUGCAUGGAAACUGCUAUUUAAGUGCUGUUAAACCUGGGUCACUGCAAACAGAAUAGAGGGAUUGGUGACAUGCUGUUUUUAUGAAAUCCUAGUUCAAUAAUUUUGUUUUAAUCUGUUAUUUUGGUUGAUAAUUGUAUGAGCCAAAGAAUAUGUGUUAGAAUGUUGAUGAUCUUUUGACAUACAGGUUGAUGUCAAUACUGAAGUUGGGUUGGUUAGAGAUAUUCGUUUGAAAGAG
rnacentral:misc_RNA from 1 species